rnacentral:rRNA from 1 species
UAUAAAUCGUAAAUUUGUAAUCUUAGUAUUAAUAGUUAUGAUCUUUAAAUUAAAAGAAUUUGGCGGUAAUUUAGUCUGUUCAGAGGAAUCUGCCCUGUAAUUGAUAAUCCACGAUAGAUUUUACUUUAUUUAAGCUUGUAUAUCUCUGUCAUUGAAUGUUUUAUUAGAAUAUUUUCUUUGAUCUUUAAUGUGGAGGAUGUCAGGUCAAGGUGCAGCAAUAAUAAAGAAGAGGUGGAUUACAUUAAAUAUAUUUAUGGAUAAAUAAAUGGAAAUUAUUUUGAAAUUGGAUUUGAAAGUAACUUCUAUUAAAAUGUAGAUUUGAUUUAAGCUCUAAAUUAUGC